rnacentral:lncRNA from 1 species
AUUUCUUUUUAUUAAGUUUAUUGUUUAAUGAAAUCAAAAUCAAUAAGAAAAUCAAGUUCAUUAUUUGAAAGUUGUGCUCAGUCAAUGUUGAAUGAUCAAGACUGAAUAUAAUGCAGAAUUUUUAUCAGGAAGGCAGUACAAGCCUGGAGUAUUUGAUCGAUACAAAACUACCAGAGUAGUACGAUUGAAAAGAUGAUGAACGAUUUCUAAAAGGGUUGUUUGAUG